rnacentral:rRNA from 1 species
GAUGAGGAAGCUUGCUUCCAAAUCCUAGCGGCGGACGGGUGAGUAACGCGUGGGCAACCUACCCUAUGCAGGGGGAUAACAUUGGGAAACCAGUGCUAAUACCGCAUAAAGCCGAGAAGGGGCAUCCCUUCAUGGUCAAAGAACUUCGGCAUAGGAUGGGCCCGCGUCUGAUUAGUUAGUUGGUAAGGUAAAGGCUUACCAAGACGAUGAUCAGUAGCCGACCUGAGAGGGUGACCGGCCACACUGGAACUGAGACACGGUCCAGACUCCUACGGGAGGCAGCAGUGGGGAAUAUUGCACAAUGGGGGAAACCCUGAUGCAGCAACGCCGCGUGAGCGAAGAAGGCCUUCGGGUCGUAAAGCUCUGUCCUAAGGGAAGAUAAUGACGGUACCUUAGGAGGAAGCCCCGGCUAACUACGUGCCAUCAGCCGCGGUAAUACGUAGGGGGCAAGCGUUAUCCGGAAUCACUGGGCGUAAAGGGUGCGUAGGCGGCCAAACAAGUCAGGGGUGAAAGGCUACGGCUCAACCGUAGUAAGCCUUUGAAACUGUUUGGCUUGAGUGCAGGAGAGGAGAGUGGAAUUCCUAGUGUAGCGGUGAAAUGCGUAGAUAUUAGGAGGAACACCAGUGGCGAAGGCGACUCUCUGGACUGUAACUGACGCUGAGGCACGAAAGCGUGGGGAGCAAACAGGAUUAGAUACCCUGGUAGUCCACGCCGUAAACGAUGAGUGCUAGGUGUUGGAGGGAGACCUUCAGUGCCGACGCUAACGCAUUAAGCACUCCGCCUGGGGAGUACGCUCGCAA